CAUCUACUCCCUCCGUUCAGAAUUACUUGUCGUAGAAAUGGAUGUAUCUAGAUGUAUUUUAGUUCUAGAUACAUCCAUUUCCGAGACAAGUAAUUCCGAACGGAGGGAGUACUCA
rnacentral:pre_miRNA from 1 species